UGGCAACAUCAGGAGGCAUCUGCCCUGGAAACAUAUUAAUCAGGGGAGCAAAUUCUGGAUCUUGUCGAAAUCCCAUCUUGGCAGCCAGCUCCUGUGCACGUUUUACGGCUUCAUAUUUUUGCGUUGUAAGCCCAGUGAGAUGAGGUAAGCCACUUGGUGGUGGGUUAGCAGAAGCAGAAGCAGAAGCAACAGCCGGUAAAGUAGUAGUGCUUGGAUUUAGUCCAGUAGAAACACCUGGUGCAGUUGCUGAAGCAGCAGGCGUUGACAUUAUCCCUUUACUGGAGGGUGGGACUUUAACAGCUUCCUUUUGACCCAUUUGUGGAGUACCCUCUCUUGUUGAUCCAGCAGUUUUGUUCAACUACAAUGGGGAAAAGUGACGAGUAGAUAUGCAUACAAGUGAAAAUUUAUCAUAACAUAUCACCAUAUCUUGCUCAGCCAGCAACUACGUUCACCAACGUAACAAUUAAAAAAAUAGGAAAGAUGCCCAACAGCUAACUAUCUUAGCAGCAACUUACCAAAGGAAUCCUCUUCAUCUUUUCCGCAAGCUCCUUCUGCAUUUGUAAAGCUUUCUUAGCUUUUGUUAAAGCAUCAAGGGAUAAGCCCCCACUCUUGCCAGCAUCUGAAGCUGUCCCAUCUGUACUCAAUUUAUCAGGAAGCUCAUGAGAUCUGCUAAUAUUAACUCCCUUAUUUUCAUUUCUAGUAUAAAUGGAAGACACCUUGGUAGCAGAAGAAUGACUGUGAUCCCCAGAAGUGCCAUGUACCAUGCUGGAUGGCAUAGCAAGCAGUCCAGUCACAUCACCCUGGGAGCACAUAAAUGACAAAUUUUUAAUCCACCCAAUCAAUGAAAUGUAGAAAAUGAAAAAGUUAGGAGACAUUUCGGAUAAAACUUGAGAUUAUUAGCAUUUCAAGGCAAACAUUUCACAUCAAAAAGCUGCAGCACUCAUUUCAGGAUCUACCCUCGAACUAAAACUCAAAAGUAGGACCCAAGAAAGGAGAAUAGUAACUCAGUUCAAAGUAGUCACACUCAUUACAAGUGCAUCUAAGGGAAUUGGCCGAAUAGUCGUUACAUAGAAGGCUUUUGUACAGAUAAGCAAUUAUUCUGCUGAAAAGAGAACUCAACGGACAAAUGCCACCUUCAAAUUUAGAGAAUACCAGCCACAGAAAAAGAUACCAAGAACAUACAGUUACAAUCAUCCAAAAAUAAAGUAUAGACGAAAUACGUGAAAGUAAUAUUGAGAAACAAAAGUAUUCAUGACCAACUAGAAGUGGGCAAAACAAUCAAGAAUCGCGUGCACGCACACUGAAUGCACUACCAAACCAAGAACAAAUAUGUACUGUAUUCCAAGUUCUAACUUAUGAAGAGUUAAUAAUCAGUGAGAGCACUUGAUAGCCAUAUCGCAAUUAAUAAAUGAUUUAGGGUGAAAAUAAUGAGAUUCCAAAAUGAAGCUAAAUUUAAAUUUAUUACUUCUCUUCAGAACAUGAUGAUCUAUGAAGCACUGACAUGGACGCCCGGUCGUGUCAUUUUCAACAUGGACACUCUGUCACCCAAAUUUUCAAAACAAAGUAGGACACCACAUGAAAGGGAUACGCUGAAUAAAAUAAUGUUUAAAUAUUUUAAAUUAUUAAUUUUUGAUACUUUAAUGAAGGAACACUUUUUUAGUUUGUUAGUCUUUAAAAUUAGGUCUUUUCGUAAGAAAUGAAGGGAAAAAACCAAUUACGGAAGCAUAUACCUUUAGGGUGCUCAGGUUGUUCACUUUAGGAACAUUCACCACGUUGCCGUGCUCAUCAAUUUCCCGGCCUAGUGCAUCCAAGCGAAGAACAGGAGCUUUGGCAGGCUUUGGCUGCAUGGCAACAUCAGGAGGCAUCUGCCCUGGAAACAUAUUAAUCAGGGGAGCAAAUUCUGGAUCUUGUCGAAAUCCCAUCUUGGCAGCCAGCUCCUGUGCACGUUUUACGGCUUCAUAUUUUUGCGUUGUAAGCCCAGUGAGAUGAGGUAAGCCACUUGGUGGUGCGUUAGCAGAAGCAGAAGCAACAGCCGGUAAAGUAGUAGUGCUUGGAUUUAGUCCAGUAGAAACACCUGGUGCAGUUGCUGAAGCAGCAGGCGUUGACAUUAUCCCUUUACUGGAGGGUGGGACUUUAAC
rnacentral:lncRNA from 1 species